GACGAACGCUGGCGGCGUGCUUAACACAUGCAAGUCGAACGGAAAGGCCCUGCUUUUGUGGGGUGCUCGAGUGGCGAACGGGUGAGUAACACGUGAGUAACCUGCCCUUGACUUUGGGAUAACUUCAGGAAACUGGGGCUAAUACCGGAUAGGAGCUCCUGCUGCAUGGUGGGGGUUGGACAGUUUCGGCGGUUGGGGAUGGACUCGCGGCUUAUCAGCUUGUUGGUGGGGUAGUGGCUUACCAAGGCUUUGACGGGUAGCCGGCCUGAGAGGGUGACCGGCGACAUGGGGACUGAGAUAGGGACCAGACUCCUACGGGAGGCAGCAGUGGGGAAUAUUGCACAAUGGGCGGAAGCCUGAUGCAGCAACGCUGCGUGCGGGAUGACGGCCUUCGGGUUGUAAACCGCUUUCGCCUGUGACGAAGCGUGAGUGACGGUAAUGGGUAAAGAAGCACCGGCUAACUACGUG
rnacentral:rRNA from 1 species